GUCCUCCCUGUGCAGCACAUAUACUAAAAUUGGAAGGAUACAGAGAAGAUUACCAUCACCCUGUGCAAGUGUCCCAUAUUUACAAAAAAAGAGAAUACUAAUUUAU
rnacentral:snRNA from 1 species